rnacentral:piRNA from 1 species
UGUGAAUACUGAACCAUCCUUGCACUUGGA